AUUCAGCUGAAAAGUCCCGAACAGGACGAUACGUCCGUCCUGGAU
rnacentral:hammerhead_ribozyme from 1 species